rnacentral:rRNA from 1 species
GAUGAACGCUAGCUACAGGCUUAACACAUGCAAGUCGAGGGGAAACGAUAUUGGAAGCUUGCUUCCGAUAGGCGUCGACCGGCGCACGGGUGAGUAACGCGUAUCCAACCUGCCCACCACUUGGGGAUAACCUUGCGAAAGUAAGACUAAUACCCAAUGAUGCCCAUAGAAGACAUCUGAAAUGGAUUAAAGAUUUAUCGGUGAUGGAUGGGGAUGCGUCUGAUUAGCUUGUUGGCGGGGUAACGGCCCACCAAGGCGACGAUCAGUAGGGGUUCUGGGAGGAAGGUCCCCCACAUUGGAACUGAGACACGGUCCAAACUCCUACGGGAGGCAGCAGUGAGGAAUAUUGGUCAAUGGGCGAGAGCCUGAACCAGCCAAGUAGCGUGCAGGAUGACGGCCCUAUGGGUUGUAAACUGCUUUUAUAAGGGAAUAAAGUGAGCCUCGUGAGGCUUUUUGCAUGUACCUUAUGAAUAAGGACCGGCUAAUUCCGUGCCAGCAGCCGCCGUAA